GAAAGUAGUCCCCAACCCCUAGUGGACUCAGUCUCUCACACUAGGCGACAUAUAAAAUUCUAGAUUCUCUUCGGACUCGCUUAUGGUUGUGAGGCCUUGGGGCCACCUUCCGGUACACUGGAAGCCUAUCGUUCUCCGUAUCGUCGUAGGAAGUAGUUCCGGCCUACGGUAGGCCGAUGGGUCCCUCCGCAGCAAGGGAAAAAGGAUGGCGACCUCAUCGAUGCCGGAGUCGGAGAGGAACGCGGUUACGAAAGCGUCAGAGUGAAGGCUCCGGAUCCUGCGCCCCCCUGUCGGGCGGCCCUCGGAGCCGAUGGAGGAGAACGAGGUGGAGAGCAGUAGCGACGCGGCCCCUAGGCCUGGCCGGCCCGAGGAGCCCUCUGAGAGCGGCUUGGGUGUGGGCACCUCUGAAGCCGUGUCGGCCGACAGCAGCGACGCCGCGGCCGCCCCAGCGCCGGCGGAGGCCGACGACACUGGUGUGGGGCAGAGCUCGGAUCGCGGCAGCAGCUCUCUGGAGGAGGUAUCUGAGAGCAGCUCCAGCACAGACCCUUUGCCCCAUGGCUACCUCCCUGAUUCAUCUUCUGUUUCCCAUGGGCCAGAGGCAGGGGUGACAGGUGGCCCCCCAGCCCUGGUGCACUCCAGUGCGCUCCCAGACCCCAACAUGCUGGUGUCCGACUGCACGGCUUCUUCCUCAGACCUGGGCUCAGCCAUUGACAAGAUCAUCGAGUCCACCAUCGGGCCCGACCUCAUCCAGAGCUGCAUCACCGUGACCAGUGCUGAGGGUAGCAGGGCCGAGACCACACGGUACCUGAUCCUACAGGGACCAGACGAUGGUGCCCCCAUGGCAUCGCCAAUGUCGAGUUCUGCCCUGGCCCACAGCCUGGCAGCCAUUGAGGCUCUUGCCGAUGGCCCCACGUCUACAUCCACAUGCCUGGAGCCACCUGAAGAGGCACAGGGUGGGCCUAGCUCCCCAGCACAGCCCCGCCUGGGUUCUGGCACUGAGGAGCCAGACCUACAGAGCCUGGAGGCCAUGAUGGAGGUGGUGGUAGUGCAGCAGUUCAAGUGCAAGAUGUGCCAGUACCGGAGCAGCACCAAAGCCACACUGUUGCGCCACAUGCGGGAGCGGCAUUUCCGCCCAGCAGCAGCAGCAGCUGGUAAAAAGGGACGUCUGCGGAAGUGGGGCACCUUGGCCAAGACCCAGGAGGAACAGGGGCCAGAGGAGGAAGAUGACGAUGACAUCGUAGAUGCUGGUGCCAUUGACGACCUGGAAGAGGACAGUGACUACAACCCGGCUGAGGACGAGCCCCGGGGCCGGCAGCUACGGCCCCAGCGCCCUACUCCCAGUACACCCAGACCCCGCAGGAGACCUGGCCGGCCCCGGAAGCUGCCUCGCGUGGAGACCUCGGACCUCCCGGAUGGUGUGGAAGUAGAGCCUCUAGUGAGUUCCCAGAGUGGACAGAGCCCUCAAGAGCCACAAGACCCCGAGGCCCCCAGCUCCUCGGGCCCCGGACGCCUGGUGGCCCUGGGCAAGGCUGACAAGCCCCCAGUGGAACCCGGUGUGAGCCAGUCAGAUGCGGAGAACACGGAGCUGUCCUGUCAGGACGAGCCUGACGCCCCACCCCGCCGCCGUGGUCGACCCUCCAGGCGCUUCCUGGGCAAGAAAUACCGCAAGUACUAUUACAAGUCGCCCAAGCCGCUCCUGAGGCCCUUCCUGUGCCGCAUCUGCGGCUCCCGCUUCCUGUCCCACGAGGACCUGCGCUUCCACGUCAACUCCCACGAGGCUGGAGACCCCCAGCUCUUCAAGUGCCUGCAGUGCAGCUACCGCUCCCGCCGCUGGUCCUCACUCAAGGAGCACAUGUUCAAUCACGUGGGCAGUAAGCCGUACAAGUGUGACGAAUGCAGCUACACCAGCGUCUAUCGGAAGGAUGUCAUCCGGCACGCGGCGGUGCACAGCCGGGACCGGAAAAAGAGACCAGAUCCGACCCCGAAGCUGAGCUCCUUCCCCUGCCCCGUGUGUGGCCGUGUCUACCCCAUGCAGAAGAGACUCACACAGCACAUGAAGACACACAGCACAGAGAAGCCCCACAUGUGUGACAAGUGUGGGAAGUCCUUUAAGAAACGUUACACCUUCAAGAUGCAUCUACUCACGCACAUCCAGGCUGUCGCCAACCGCAGGUUCAAGUGCGAGUUCUGCGAGUUUGUUUGUGAGGACAAGAAAGCACUGCUGAACCACCAGUUGUCCCAUGUCAGCGACAAGCCCUUCAAAUGCACCUUUUGCCCCUACCGCACCUUCCGAGAGGACUUCCUACUGUCCCACGUGGCAGUCAAGCAUACAGGGGCCAAGCCCUUUGCCUGUGAGUACUGCCACUUCAGCACAAGGCACAAGAAGAAUCUACGCCUGCACGUGCGGUGCCGGCACGCUAGCAGCUUCGAGGAAUGGGGGCGGCGCCACCCUGAGGAGCCCCCCUCCCGCCGUCGCCCCUUCUUCUCUCUGCAGCAGAUUGAGGAGCUGAAGCAGCAGCAUAGUGCAGCCCCUAGACCACCACCCAGCUCCCCAGGGCCUCCUGAGAUCCCCCCAGAGGCAGCACCUUUCCAGUCCCCUGAGAACCCCCCACUGCUCUGUUCUGACACCCUGGGUGGUGCCACCAUCAUCUACCAGCAAGGAGCUGAGGAGUCCACUGCCAUGGCCACACAGACAGCCUUGGAUCUGCUGUUGAACAUGAGCACUCAGCGGGAGCUGGGGGGCACAGCCCUGCAGGUGGCUGUGGUGAAGUCAGAGGACGUGGAAGCAGAGUUAGCGUCCUCCGGUGGGCAGCCCUCCCCAGCAGGUGCUACUCCCCAAGUGGUAACCCUCCACGUGGCAGAGCCAGGGGGCAGUGUGGCUGCUGAGAGCCAGCUAGGCCCCCCUGACCUACAGCAGAUCACCCUGGCGCCUGGGCCGUUCAGCGGGGCUGGCUACAGCGUCAUCACGGCACCCCCUGUGGAGGAGGGCACAUCAGCUCCCGGCACACCUUACAGUGAGGAGCCCCCAGGAGAGGCAGCCCAGGCUGUGGUUGUGAGCGACACCCUGAAGGAAGCUGGCACCCACUACAUCAUGGCAGCCGAUGGGACCCAGCUGCACCACAUUGAGCUGACUGCAGAUGGCUCCAUCUCCUUCCCAAGUCCGGAUGCCCUGGCCUCUGGAGCAAAGUGGCCCCUGCUGCAGUGUGGGGGGCUGCCCAGAGACGGCCCUGAGCCCCCGUCUCCAGCCAGGACCCACCGGGUAGGGGACCCCCAGGGCUCUGCCUCCCCACCUCCUGCAGCCAGCAAAGCCCUGGGCCUGGUAGUGCCCUCCUCGCCACCAUCUGCAGCCACUGCAUCGUCAAAGAAAUUUUCCUGCAAGAUCUGUGCUGAGGCCUUCCCUGGCCGAGCUGAGAUGGAGAGUCACAAACGGGCCCACGCUGGGCCUAGCGCCUUCAAGUGCCCUGACUGCCCCUUCAGUGCUCGCCAGUGGCCUGAGGUCCGGGCCCACAUGGCACAGCACUCAAGCCUGCGACCCCACCAGUGCAGCCAGUGCAGCUUUGCCUCCAAGAAUAAGAAGGACCUGCGCCGGCACAUGCUGACCCACACCAAUGAGAAGCCUUUCGAGUGCCACCUCUGCAGGCAGCGGUUCAACCGCAACGGGCACCUCAAGUUCCACAUCCAGCGGCUGCAUAGUCCUGAUGGGAGAAAAGCAGCAACCCCAACUGCUCGGGCCCCAGCCCGGACCCCCACCCAGACCAUCAUCCUGAACAGUGAUGAUGAGACACUGGCCACAUUGCACACUGCACUCCAGUCCAGUCACGGGGUCCUAGGCCCAGAGCGGCUACAGCAGGCGCUGGGCCAGGAACACAUCAUUGUGGCCCAGGAACAGACAGUGACCAAUCAGGAGGAAGCCACCUACAUCCAAGAGAUCACUACGGCAGACGGCCAGACAGUACAGCACCUGGUGACGUCUGAUAACCAGGUACAGUACAUUAUCUCUCAGGAUGGUGUCCAGCACCUGCUACCCCAGGAAUAUGUUGUGGUCCCAGAGGGCCAUCACAUCCAGGUACAGGAGGGCCAGAUCACACACAUCCAGUAUGAACAAGGGGCCCCUUUUCUUCAGGAGUCCCAGAUCCAGUAUGUGCCCGUGUCCCCCAGCCAGCAGCUUGUCACACAGGCCCAGCUUGAGGCUGCAGCACACUCAGCUGUCACAGCGGUGGCUGAUGCUGCCAUGGCCCAAGCCCAAGGUCUGUUUGGCACAGAGGAGGCAGUGCCUGAACACAUCCAACAGCUGCAACACCAGGGCAUCGAGUACGACGUCAUCACCCUGACGGAUGACUGAGCCCCAGGGAUCCAACUCAGACCAUGGAUAUUGGGGCCAGCCCAGCUGGGGAUGUGCUGGGAGCCACUGCGGUACUCAUGCUCGAAGGCAGGCAGGACCAGCUGGUGGCGCUUGAAGCGGCUCUGCUCCAUGCGGGUGAGCGCCGGUGUCGGGGGUUCCCGCCACUCAGGGAUGAACACGAUGAAGGACAGGGGCUCUGGCGAGCUCUCGAGCAGUUUCUGUGGGAGGGGGCCCGGGGUGGAUGUCAGGGGCUGUCCUCCAGUUGGCUGGGCAGCUUGCUCGCCACACCCACCCCCAGCAGCAACACACCCACCUCGAAGUGAGAUACCAUGGCAUCCAUGAGCUCCUCGCAGAACGGAGGGUUGGCCUCGAAGGAACCACUCAGCGGGGAGAAGUCCAGGCAGGGCCUGGGGACAGAGGUGAGCAUUCUAAGUCUUACCGGGACACAGUCCCUCAACCAAAAACAGGCGAUGCCCCCACUCCUAGACAGCCACUUUGAAGAGAUGGCUGGAGUCAGGCCAGAGGCCAACAUUCACCCUUAAUUUGUCCUGGUAUAGGGUGUGGCUAUCUCUGUUGAAUGGAUGGCAACAGAGAGGCUCAGGCUGGAGGGCCCAAGUUCACCAAGCUGGUUAGUGGAGGAGCUAGAGCCCAAAUCCAGUUCUGACCCCGCUGCCACCACAGCACAAGCCACACCCAGGAAUCCCCCAACUGCCAAGCUUUUCCCUCUUGCUGGCCUGGCCACACUUUCCUACUGGAGGCAGCACUAUCUUCCCCUCUCAUCUGUCCUCCCCCAACCACCAUGCUAGUCUGUAAAGUCGCCACCCUGCAUUCCUCUCAAUGCCCAGAACCAGGUGCUCCUACUCCAAACCUGGGCUAAUUCAACAAGCAAGCCACAGGCUGGGUUAGGGGAUUUUGCAGGCUCCCAGAGGUUCUGCAACAGGUCCGAGGUCACAUAGCUGGUAAGGGGGGAAGGCGGGGACUCCACCCAAGACUGCCUGACUCCAAAGCCCAAAAGCUCUAGGAAGCAGCUGAUCAAGGUGGGCCUCUGUGCUCUGGAGGACACUUGCUUAGGUGAGAGAGGACCCACAGGGGAACCCCUGGCUCUCACCCGCGGGAGCCAAAGUAGCCAUCUGUGUCAGGGAAGGCAGAGCAGUACUGGCGGAAGUAGCAGUUGAGGGGCGAGGCGAAGCACUCGAAGCUGACGCCGAAAAGUCGGUGAAGGGCCUCGAAGACGUGCACAGGCAGCGAUCCCUGCAGGCCUGUCCCCUCGUAGAGGCCCACGCCGAACAUCAUCUGCAGAGCGGCCUGCUCAGCCUCCAGGGUGCAGCCUCCCCGCCCCCUCCAGUCGAGCCCUGCCCCAGCUGCCCCAGGCCUGUACCUGGUACCGUCGGAGAAGACACCAGACUCGGGGCAGGAACCUCUCAAAGGCAGAAUCAUCAAUGCAGCUGUAGCGGUAAAGGAGCCACUGUGGGACAGAAAGCAGUAGGUUUCAGCAGCGACCCCUCCCUCUCUCACUGGCCUCCUGCAGAAGACUCCAGGUGGAGGAAGAGUCAGCCUCAUGUCUCCCACCUGAGGGGACCCGCCCCCCCAACCCCAGCUCUUACCAGCUUGCUGAAGUAGUUGCGGCUGACCUUGACCAUCUCGCCCUUGUACCGAAUGCAGACCACGUUGUUCUCCAUAUGCAUCUCCACGCUGGGCAUGGGAGGCGCAGACACGGCCAGCCGCACUGGGUAGCAGUACACCAGGCGGGGCUCCACCUCGGGGGCCUCUACCUCCUCUGUGGGCAGGAGAUCAGUGAGGGGCCACCAACUCUCACCCUGCACAGCCUCAGUGCCCACCACAGGCCAGGAGCUUCACACAUGCAGUAACCAAGGGAGGUAAGUCUCAUCCCAGGGAGGAAUAAACUGCAGCUCAGACAGUUCCGUAACAAAGGAAACAGCCAGGCCACUGGCAGGGCGACAACCGUGGGUCAUGUCCGCCUGUUCUGUACUGACACGGGCCCCGGUCCGCCCGCCUCGGGGCCUGGCAGGCAGGGAGGCAAACUCCAGGCUAUGGGUCUGCUGCCAUGCGUGUCUUCAUCACCAGUCACAGUACCUUAUUUUGGGAUCUUUUGGGGCCCAGCACUUUGAGUUCCCACUGAAUCCUCAUGAUCCUGGGGCUAGGUGUGACCUCAGUGAGGCUUACAGGGACUGGGUGUAAACGCAGAUCCACAUAACUACUCAUCCCUGGCCUGCCUUUCCCACCUCCGGCUCUCCCUUUCUCAUCACUUCUGCUUCCUAGAGGAGUGCCGAAAUCCCAGAGCCAAGCACAAAGCUGAUCCUGCCCAGACACUGCCUGGAGAAACGGGCUUCCCCAAACCACUCUGCAGCCUUGCAGCUCAGCCUCACCUGUCCCUUCAGCCAGGGCCUGGGAUGCCGAGCUGAUGGCAUCACACCAGCCCCCUACCUGGGAUGUUGUUUUCCUUGAGGAUGGCAAGGUGCUUCUCUCGGAUCCGUUUGACGUACUCCAGGGAGAUGUGGUAGAUCUUACUGCAGAUGCCUUCCACCGAGUCCUUGGCUGCGGCCGAGACAUGGGGGCCACACUGCCUCCGUAGAUGCUCCAGGCGAUCCUGGAGGAGACACUCCUGAUCAGGGCUUUAGUGGGCUGGCAGGGAGGGCUAUGAGAUUCCAACAGUCCUCAUUUUAAAACAGUCUCUGCUACUUACUAGCUGUGUGACUUGGACAAAUCCCGAAUUGUGAACCUUAUUCCUCAACUGUUAAGGGAACACACGACACUUAACCUAACAAGGCAGUUGGAGUAUCAAAUACGAUCACUUCCAUUAAGGGCUUACCAAGUAAGUGCCCAAUGAAUGCCAGCACUUAUUGUUGGAGUUACACUGUGCCAAAUCUCAUGAUACUUGCUGGGGAACAGACAAACCGGCACCAUCCCUGCUCAUAAGGCAUGUGCAGUCUAUCGGGGAGAGGGACCCUCGUAAGUCAGGGUCCCCCUGGUCACUGCAGAUUUGCCGUUUGAGCUUUUAGUGACUUGUAAGGUUAACUGUAGGCAUUUGUAAUUUUGCUGAAUUGCACGUGUGAAAGUGAUGGGUGAAAAUGAGUCACUCUGGCUAGUGAGUACACCUACCUUUGUCACUCUACGUGUCAAGUACACAGUUACUAUCGUGAAGUGCGAAACCUUGUCUCUUGUGAAAAAGGGUCCUGAAAAGAAAGUCCAUUGCUAGUGCUGGUGGAGAGUUAAAAAAGUGAUGGGUUUGGGCCGGGAAACAAUUGUUUUCAAUGCAUUAAAGUGGGCAACUGAACCUGGCGGUAGCCCUUAAUUGUGACAGGACCACACACAGCCAAGAAAAGGCAGUUUGUUGGUCUGUUUCUAAAAAUCUAAAGGGAGGUGUUGAACAUUCAUUAAGUGGAAAAAGCAGCUGUUUAUGACGUGUGGUCGAGCAAAGGAUUCCAUUAAGAACCUGAAUGGAAGUUUUCUUUGGGAGAAAGCCAGGAGCCUAGACAAACAUCUCCACAGAUGUCAGUCUGUGGACCGAAGAGUGUCAGGUGUGCUGCACUGCACAAAAACUGGCUGCCCGCCUCAGCAGGCAGAGUGGGCUUCUCAGAGGCAGUGGCCACAAAGCCAGUCCACUGGCCACCUGCCCAGGGCCACUCACCAUGUAGUCCUCCUUGGAGGCAGAGUGGUCCUUCCGCAGCCAGCUGAAGGUGUCCUCCACGUUCCACUUGACCACCUUCCUGCUGUCGGGGGAUGCACUCCUGCCAGGCGAGGGUGCAUCAAGGGGCUGGCUGUUAAUGUACCCCACCUUCCUAGCUCCUCCCCCCACCACUUCCAAUAGUGGCUUACACCACAGCCCUUGUUCUGCCUCUGGGAGCUGGCCCCACUCCUGCCACCAACAAUGACAGAGCCCUAUGAGUAGGUCAGAUGGCCUUUGCCCUCCCCACUCUGGUCACAGAGCCAAACCUAGACUCAAUGAGCCGCCUGGCAGCCUCUGCGUAUUUGAAGAGCAGGCGCUUGGCUUCCUCCCGGAACUUGAUUCGGGAUAACCUGCAUUAGAGAGAUUAGAAGACAGAGUUAGAGCCCUUCUCUGUGAGACUGGGCACACAAGCCAAGCUGCCUGGGUCCGCCCCAGCUCUUGGGGCUGUACCUGAUGGGAAUGUCAUUCAUGAUUUCUCGAAACAUGGAAGGUGACACAACCGGUUCGCAGUUGCUUGGCAACAGGGGAUCAGAGCCUUUGUCCACGACCUUGCGCUCCAGCAUCCAGCGGUUGAAGGAUUCCCGAGGGGGCUCAAUGCCUGAGGGACAGGAAAGCUGAUGAAGGUCUGGGUUCAGCCAGCGGGCUCCACGUGGGCUAGUACACAGGAGGCGCAGUGCGGGCACUGGUGCAGUAGUGAACAAGACCCGGCCCCUGUGAUGUCAGGAGCUUACAUCCUCAGCAACGUUUCCAAAAUACAUUCUGAGAAUCACUAGUUUUAUAAGGAGUGUUGCAAAGGGUAACAAAGAAGGGAAGGAGAGAUUCUAUAUUUCAGCGAAGUUAAGCAAGUUUAUUUACUAAUUAAUAAAAGCUGAGGUUUAUUAAGCACUUACUCCUUGUAGUAAUCCUGUGAGGGGUAGGUGCUCUCGUUUUUAUGCCAUUUUACAGAUACAUAAAGAGGCUUCGAACAGUGCCUGGCAGAUAGUAAGCACUGUGGAAGUGUUAAUUAUAUCUGUCAUUUUGGUAUUACUGACCCCAGCCACCCUCUCUGUAGGCACUGUUCCUGUCACUAUCGCACAGAUGAGGUACCACAAGUGCAGAGAGGUUAAGCUAUGAGCCCGGGGUCACAGAGCCAGCAGUUAGUGGAGCUGGACUCCCACAGCACACACUCUCAACCACUGGGCUCCACUGUGUGCUCCCCAAGCCCAGAUGGCCAAUCCCCAGCUCGUGCUAACGGUGGAUGGAGACAAAGGCCGGGAUCCAGGAGGCAAUUACCCUCUCGCUGCUGGCACAGCUCCCGGUAAUGCUGCCGGAGCUUCAGGAUGAGCUGGGAACGGAGCAGCUCCACCUCGGGAUGUGGAGGAAGCACCUCUGAAGGCCCCCGGUGCUUGAUGACGGCGUUGGUCUGAAUGUCCAGAUCCCAGUAGACCCUGGGGCACAGGCAGGAGCAAUGAGAAAAGGAGGGAUGCCCUGCCUGCGACCCCAGCCCUCAAUCCCAGGCAAGCUGGCCACCAACGAUGGGUGCCCCCACACUGAUCAGCCAAGACUCACUCAGUGGGUCGGAGGAGAGCCGCCUGCUGUUUAUCUUCAGGGGAUGUCCCCCAAAUCUUCAGUGUUGGGGUUCCUGGGACACUGGGGGAGCUGGGCACCGACGGUCCUGUGGGUGUCAUGGGAAUUUCAAUCUGGAGAAAGAAUCAAAGGCAUCAGGUCAAGAGAGCUGGCCCACAGCUCCAACACUGCGCCCCCGACCAGCCUGCUGAUGCCCAGCCCUCGUGGGGGCCUGCCAGCUGCCUGCCUGGGCAGCUGCCGACCAGCCGUUCUUGAGCGUCCACACACACUCACCUUGGGCUUCUUCACGCCAUUGCCACUGGGCUGCUCGUCCGAGAGCUGCUGCUUUCGGGCCUUGUUCUCAGCCGGGGGGGUUUCCACCAAGCUUGAAUCUUGGGGCAGGGGGGUCGCAUUCAGCCCCAAAGGGUCCGACUGGUGGAGGGAGACCAGCAGAGUUACAACCAGGGUCAGAGGCUUAGAAGUCCCAGUACUGCAGAACCCUGAUGCCCUCCUGCCCCCUGUUCCUACUCCUUGGAGAAGAGCAGAGAGGGCUGGGAGGCCGAAGGAAUGCUGGGCUCCACUCCUGCCUACUACUUGGCAACUGUGUGACCUGGGGGAGUUCUUUCCCUUCCUAAUUCCCUCACCUUUCCUGCCUCACCACUGAAGAGAUUAAAUGACUACAACCAUUUUAACGUGA